AUUGAACGCUGGCGGCAGGCUUAACACAUGCAAGUCGAGCGAGUGGCGGACGGGUGAGUAAUGUCUGGGAAACUGCCUGAUGGAGGGGGAUAACUACUGGUAACGGUAGCUAAUACCGCUUACCAUCAGCUGUGCCCAGAUGGGAUUAGCGAGUAGUUGGGGUAAUGGCUCACCUAGGCGACGCUCCCUAGCUGGUCUGAGAGUAUGACCAGCCAAACUGGAACUGAGACACGGUCCAGACUCCUACGGGAGGCAGCAGUGGGGAAUAUUGCACAAUGGGCGCAAGCCUGAUGCAGCAAUGCCGCGUGUGUGAAGAAGGCCGUCGGUUUGUAAAGCACUUUCAGCGAGGAGGCGUUACUCGCAGAAGAAGCACCGGCUAACUCCGUGCCAGCAGCCGCGGUAAUAC
rnacentral:rRNA from 1 species